UGGCUCAGGACGAACGCUGGCGGCGUGCCUAAUACGAUGCAAGUCGAACGGCUUUCAUGGAAGCUUGCUUCCACUGAGAAGAUAGUGGCGAACGGGUGAGUAACACGUGGGUAACCUGCCCAUAAGAGGGGGAUAACAUCCGGAAACGGGUGCUAAUACCGCAUAGUUUCUUGAUCGCAUGAUUGAGAAAGGAAAGACGGCCUUUGGUGCUGUCGCUUAUGGAUGGACCCGCGGCGUAUUAGUUAGUUGGUGAGGUAACGGCUCACCAAGACGAUGAUACGUAGCCGACCUGAGAGGUGAUCGGCCACAUUGGGACUGAGACACGGCCCAAACUCCUACGGGAGGCAGCAGUAGGGAAUCUUCCGCAAUGGACGGAAAGUCUGACGGAGCAACGCCGCGUGAGUGAAAGAAGGUUUUCGGAUCGUAAAACUCUGUUGUCAGAGAAGAACAAGUUGGAGAGUAACUGCUCCAGCCUUGACGGUAUCUGACCAGAAAGCCACGGCUAACUACGUGCCAGCCGCCGC
rnacentral:rRNA from 1 species